UGAACAUCAUUAUAAAAUUGUCACAUACUGUAUCAUAGAUAUAAAUCGCAAAUUUUAAACAUAUGAAAAUAAAUAAAUAAAUAAAUAAAUAAAUAGAAAACCAAAUUUGUGCGGUGAUAGUGAUUAUAGACGUGGAGAAGGUCGAUAAAGGAUAAGGGGAACAAAUAAGAAAAGAAGGAUUGUGUUUGUGAAAAGAGGAAGAAGACAAUGGUCAAAGUAAGAACGAACAAAACAACACGUGAAAGAUAAACACAUGCUUUUGUGUUGUAGGCGGAGAACACGUUGCUGUUUUCUGGUUUUCUAAUGGACCCCAAAACGGCACGUCGUUGAACUUUUCUCCUUGUUGUGUUUGUUCUAAAAUUCUUAUUUUACUUCACCAAAAACCAAAUCUCCGCCAAUUUAGCAGUUAAGUGUUCCACACACACACAUCAUGUGUUCCACCACUUCAAUGUAACUAAACUACAAGUUUGGUCGCUUAACUUAGCUUCUAUCUAUCAAAUCCAUUUAUAUCACUGUUUUUUCUUCUUGCAAAAACAUAUUUAUGAAGAUGAAAUCCUAACAAAUAAACACCAUGGUCCAUGUCCUACCCAAAAAAAAAAAACAAAUAAACACCAUGACCUACAAGUCGACAUUGAGUUAAUAACUAAAACCUACUUUACUUGUAUUUUUUAAUAUAUUAAUUUUGGAAAAUUGAGGGUUUCACACCUAUCUCAUCUUAUUACAAGUCAAAGUCUAUUUUUUCAUCUCAUUUUGUACAAAGACGAAUGACGCAUGAAAAGAAAAAGUUGCUGAAUCAGACUUCUCAACAAAUCCAUAAUUUAAAAAUAAACAAGCAUUAGAAAACAUCAAUAAUAUAUACAAGUCACACUCCCAUCGCAUGCAAUUAAAUAUUCUCGCUAUGGAAGACAGAGUUCGUCCCCUACAACUGGCCAUUGGUUGGCGUUUACUAUUGAUUCAAAACGUUAUUAGAAGUGUUGUCUGUGCGUGUGGUCCCUCAUUUUCAACUGUAUAUAAAAUAUAGUCUAGUAUUUUUUAGUAUAUAAAUUAUUUACUCCUAUAGUUACCCGUUCUGUAAUUCAUGAAUUAAUUAAUGAAUUGGAAGGGAGUCGUAGCCAUACGUGCAAAUAGUUCAAAUUAUAUGAAUCUUUUAAUCUUUAAUCCAAAAUGCAUUUGUCUAAAACUGUUUAUCGUAAGGUUUGUUCACAUUUAGAAUUACUCGGUUACUUGUAUGAUUUGAAGUAAUGUGCUCCACUGAUCACUAAUUAGAUUGAUCGUUUACAUUGGGCGAAAAUCUAUCAAACCAUAUACAAAUUUGCUUACAUUUAUGUUUUAAAUCAUAGCAUUCAUAUUUUAUUAAUUAUAAUUUGCAUACAAUGCAGUUUUUUUUUUUUUUUGCAUAACCAUACAAUGCAGUUCACAGGACAUUGUGACAGUCCAUACCGCAUCAACUACGCUUAUAAUGCUUCCACCGUCCAGAUUCCUCAAUUUUGUAUUGUUAAGAUACUCAUGAUAACACACCGUUUACUACCGAUCGGAUCGUUAUCCUUGUGAUACGAAGAUCAGUGUGCAUGAUCUUGAACAGAUCCUAUAUAAAAAGUUGAAGAUGAUGUUGUUAGAGGUUUCUUCAGAGUUGCAAUAACAUAAGCAUGUUGUAUUGUCGGCCACCUCAGUUUCGAGUGUUUUCUGCUUCGUCUUUGUCUUCUACUCCCACGACACUUAUCAACAUAAACAGCAACUUAUGUCUCUAUUGUGUUUUGCUCUUUGCCAUGCAUCUUUAGUACCCAAAAUACUAUUUAAUUUAUUUAAAACAAUUAUUAUAGCAAAUCAACAUAAUAAAAUAUUGUCUU
rnacentral:lncRNA from 1 species